UCGCGCGGGGGAGAGAGGAAAAGAACGCGGUGCUCCGUGCUGCCCCUUGUUAUCCCUGCUAUCCACGUGCCCCCCCUUGUUAUCCUCGUGCUCCCGGCCUUGUAGCGGUGCCGUGGCGGGGCGUGUAGGCGUUGACAUCACUCACGGUCAACGGCACUGCCCAUACACUCAGUCCACCCUGGCGGGGACCUCACCAAUGACCUCCAUGAAAACAGGGUCCCAGACAAGCCAGUUGGUCUGAAGGCCGUGGCGCUGACUGACCACAUCAGGGUGUGCUGGCAGCCCCCCGCACAGCACAAUGUGCUGCUGUGCGGCUACACCAUUGCCUGGGACCAAGGCGUGGCGGACAUCUACUCCAAGAUCGUGGACAGCAAGCAGCGCGGUUACAUCAUUGAUAAGCUG